rnacentral:rRNA from 1 species
GGUGAACGCUGGCGGUAGGCCUAACACAUGCAAGUCGAACGGCGGCACAGUAAGAGCUUGCUCUUACGGGUGGCGAGUGGCGGACGGGUGAGGAAUACAUCGGAAUCUACUUUUUCGUGGGGGAUAACGUAGGGAAACUUACGCUAAUACCGCAUACGACCUACGGGUGAAAGCAGGGGAUCUUCGGACCUUGCGCGAUUGAAUGAGCCGAUGUCGGAUUAGCUAGUUGGCGGGGUAAAGGCCCACCAAGGCGACGAUCCGUAGCUGGUCUGAGAGGAUGAUCAGCCACACUGGAACUGAGACACGGUCCAGACUCCUACGGGGGGCAGCAGUGGGGAAUAUUGGACAAUGGGCGCAAGCCUGAUCCAGCCAUACCGCGUGGGUGAAGAAGGCCUUCGGGCUGUAAAGCCCUUUUGUUGGGAAAGAAAAGCAGCAGGUUAAUACCCCGCUGUUCUGACGGUACCCAAAGAAUAAGCACCGGCUAACUUCGUG